rnacentral:rRNA from 1 species
AACGUCUGACACAGGUGCUGUAUGGCUGUCGUCAGCUCGUGUCGUGAGAUGUUGGGUUAAGUCCGUAACGAGCGCAACCCUUGUCCUUAGUUACCAGCACGUUAUGGUGGGCACUCUAAGGAGACUGCCGGUGACAAACCGGAGGAAGGUGGGGAGUGACGUCAAGUCAUCAUGGCCCUUACGGCCUGGGCUACACACGUGCUACAAUGGUCGGUACAAAGGGUUGCCAAGCCGCGAGGUGGAGCUAAUCCCAUAAAACCGAUCGUAGUCCGGAUCGCAGUCUGCAACUCGACUGCGUGAAGUCGGAAUCGCUAGUAAUCGUGAAUCAGAAUGUCACGGUGAAUACGUUCCCGGGCCUU